rnacentral:ncRNA from 1 species
UAUUGAUUUGGUUUUGGUUAUUAUAUAAGUUAUUAUUAGAUUAGUAUAUGUUAGGUUUAAAAGUAUAUUGCUUUACUUAUUUAAAUUUUAUUUAAUGUGUUUAAUAUAUAUUAAAUAGUGUUUAUCGUUAUUAGUAGUAUAUUAAUAUAAUGCUUAUAAGUUACGCAGUACUUAUAUUUAUACAAUGAAUGAAAGUUUGAUAUAGUUAAUGUUAUAUUGUUAAAAGUGGUUAAAUUGGUGCCAGCAGCUGCGGUUAUACUAAUACUUUAAAUUUAUAUGUAUAUAGUAUAAAAUAAAGUAAUAGAUUAAAUAUAAUAGAGUAAAUGAGAUCAGUGUAUUGUAAGUAAAAUUUAAUUGCUGUUAUUUAUUUUAUUACUCUUUAUUUUAUUCUUUGAAGGUAAGGCUAAAAACUAGGAUUAGAUACCCUAUUAUUCUUUAUUUUAAAAUUUUUAUUACUUAAGUAGUAUAGACAAAUAUUUAUUACAAUUAGGGAAUAUAAAUAUAUGUGUUUGAAAUUUAAAAGACUUGGCGGUGUUACAUAUCCUCUCAGGGGAGUUUGCUUAUUGAUUUGAUAAUCCUCAAUUUACACUUACUUUUUUUUGAAUGUAAACAGUUUGUGUAUUGCUGUCAUCAGUUUAUUUUGUAAAAAUAAAAACAUAAUAAUAAUAGUUGUAAUGUCAAGUCAAAAUGCAGCUUAUGAAAAAGGUUAAGUGAACUACAAUUUAUAAUUAAUUAAAUAUGGAAUAAAAUGUGUAAUUGUUUUAUGAAGGUGGACUUGGUAGUAAUAAUAGAAUAGGGAGCUGUUAUGAAUUUGGUUUUGUGAUGCGUACAUAUCGCCCGUCGCUCUUGCUGGAAAGUAAGAUAAGUCGUAACAUAGUAGGAGUAGUGGAAACUGUUUCUGGGGUAUA